CAGCUCUCGCUCCCGGAGGAACAGAACGAAGUGACGAGGAAUGGCUGUGACUCCAAAGAACUGGUCUACCUGGUGCAGAUCUGCUGUCAGGGGAGGAGCUGGAUUGUGAAGAGGAGUUAUGAGGAUUUCAGGGUGCUGGACAAACACCUCCACCUGUGCAUCUACGACCGGCGCUUCUCCCAGCUGGCAGAGCUGCCCCGCUCCGAUGCCCUGAGGGACAGCCCCGAGCUGGUCACCCAGAUGCUCAUGGCUUACCUGGCCCGGCUCUCAGCCAUCGCAGGCAACAAGAUCAACUGUGGGCCUGCCCUCACGUGGAUGGAGAUUGAUAACAAGGGGAACCACCUGCUAGUCCACGAGGAAUCGUCCAUUAACGUUCCUGCUAUUGCUGCUGCCCAUGUUAUUAAGAGAUAUAUUGCUCAAGCAGCAGAUGAACUGUCCUU